rnacentral:rRNA from 1 species
CCAAUAGCGUAUAUUAAAGUUGUUGCUGUUAAAAAGCUCGUAGUUGAAUUUCGGGGGUUCUACCGUUGGUCAGGCAAUUGUCUGUACUGGCGUGUAGAAUUUUCUCCCUUUUGGGGAACUAUCAUGUCAUUAAUUUAGCGUGGUAGGAAGCCAGGACCUUACCUU